UUUUGAGAGCUUAAAUUUUCAGCCACUUAGUUCCCUUGCAAGUAAGUGAUUUUAAUGGACAUUUUUGAUGAUUUUUGUAUUUUUGGAACCCUUAUAGCUUAAUCUAACUAAUGGGGGGAUUAUUUUGUAAAAUGGUUUAAAGUCUAGGGUUUUUUAAUGUGAAUAUUUAUGUUAUUUGCUGAAUUUUUAUGGAAGGAAAUAAGUCAUGUUGGUGUAAUAAACAACUUUUGUGAAGUGGUGUUCAUGAAAUACACCUAAAGGGACUAUUUUGUGAAGUCUCUAAAAUAGGUUGAAAAUGUGUGAACUAAUUGAAAUUAUGAGUUGCUAUAGUUAUAAAAAGAAUUCGACUAGGCUUGGUAAGGGAGAAAAUUCGAUAAAAAUUUAUUUACGAGCCUACGGGUAAAAUCGUAAUUUUUGUAAAAAUCUAGGGGCAAAAAUGGUCAUUUUUCCAAAGGAUAAAUUAUGGAAUGUAUUGGUGAAUAUGAUGAUUAAAGUAGUGAAUUUUAUCAUUAUAGAUCAAUAAAACCGAGAUUCGGGCUUAAAUCGGAAAGUACGAGGUCAUGGACUAAAAUGGAGUAAUUAGCCGAAAUUGCAUUCGAGGUAAGUCCGUGUAACUAUAAACAUGUUAUCCAUGUUAUUUUUAAUAUACUUGAAAUCUAUUUUGCUAUGAUUGUAUUGAAUUAUAUGUUGAUGGAGUUAUGUAUGAGAAAGUGAUGCCAAAUGUUAAUAACAAUUUUGUGAUGAUUGAAUACAUUGGAAAUUUGAUGGGAUAUGAUAUUCCAUUGAAACGAGUAAGUUGUAUAUAAAUAAUGCAACUUAGUCGUAUUUAUGCAUUGAAUAUUUGAUUAUGUAUAUAAUGCUUGAAUGUACCUAUGAGUAAUAUACGGUGAGAUUUAAUAUGGUAAAAACUCCCAGUUGAACCCUAGGAAUAGAUCGGAUAUCCUUGCCAUGGCAUUUGGGUGUUAUGGAUGUAUGCUAGUGUAAGACAUGUCUGGGACAUGCAUCGGCCACAUUAUGAGAGCCAGUGUAAAACCAUGUCUGGGACAUGCAUCGACCUCGAGAUAUACAAGCUAGUGUAAGACCUGUUUGGGACAUGGCAUCUGCUUGACAUGUGUCAGUGUAAGACUUGUCUGGGACAUGGCAUCUGCUUGACAUGUGUCAGUGUAAGACAUGUCUAGGACUUGGCAUCGACACCGAUAGAUGAGAGCUAGUGUAAGACCUGUCUGGGACAUGGCUUGAUAUAUAAAAGUUAGUGUAAGACCUGUCUGGGACAUGACAUCGACUUAGAUGUGUGAGCCAGUGUAAGACCAUGUUUGGAACAUGGCAUCAGCAUCGUACCCUAUGUUUGAGGCUUAGUGAUUAUCCUGUAGUAUUCCAAAUGGUUCAACGGGAAAUUUACGAUUUAAGUCGAAAUGAUAGAGCUUAUGGCUAUGUUGUGAGUGGUACAGGUACUUACAUGAAAUUGAUGAGAUGUGAACUCAAUUCAUGUUGUAUGAUUAGUAAGGAAUGUAUAUGAGCAUGUUGAGUAGCACAGGUAUGUAUGCCAAGCUCAUGAGAAAUGAUUUCGAUUUAUGAUGCACAUUUGAUGAAGAUGUAAAUGGGUAAUUCAUGCCUAUGAGAAUGAUUUUGUGAUGACCUUGUGAUUAUAGGUCUAUACUUAUGAUGUAUAAAUAUGUAUUUUUACCAAUGUUGUGAAAAUGAAUUAAUAAGAUGUGAUAAACUUAGUAUGAUUAAUUUACACUAAAAUAGUUUUGGACAAUAGCAACAGUCCGAAUAUGAAAAUCCACCAGAUAUUGUGGAAAUUGAGUUAGAGGCUGAAUAAAAUAUAAAAUUAAAGUUUAAUAAGUCUAGUUUCACAUAGACCAAAUAGUCCAUAUAAGAGAAUUUCAUAUUAUGAGAUAUUUUGAAAUUUUGUGAGACAGAGUCAGAAUGAUUUCGAAAUCCACUGUUCCAAUUUGGGAAAAUCAUUAAAAAUUAUACAAAAAUAGUUAUGGAUUAUAAUUUAUAUGUUUAGAUUAUAAUUUAUAUGUUUAGAAUCUUUAAUGAGUAUAUUUUCAAAAUAAAUAAACAAAAACAUCAUCUGAAUCCCAGGGGUGACUUUAAAGAAUAAACUGUACUUAUUGGCUAAAUCAAAAAUUUUGAAAAUUUUAUGGUAAGAAGAUAUGUGAGUCUAGUUUUAGGGAAAAUUAGCGAAACUUAAUUUGGAUUUUUGUAGCUCCAGAUAUAAAUAAUGUAAUGACUGUGACUCGAGAAAACACCUUGACCUAAACAUAAAGAAAAGUACAAAUAUGGUUGUAUUACCUUGAGAAGCAAGUUGAUAAAUUGCUUAUUAUUUUCAUACAGUCUUACUAAGCUAUAAAGAUUACUCCCUUCCUUUCUUUUUCUUUAGUGUUUUCAGGUUAGCUCGGCAUUAGAGAUCGUCGGAGGCAGCAUCACACUAUUAAGCCAUCACCUUUGGAAUAUUGAUAUUUGUUAAGCAUGUUUAAGUGAGUGGAUGUAUUGGGACUAGGUUUUUAUGAUAUGUGUUAUUAUGAUUAGCCUAAUGUAUUGGUCUAUAUUGAGUUAUUGGUAUAUGGCCAAGAGGUGCGUCUCAUAUUGAUUAUGGUUUGUAAACCUAUCUAUCUAUGCUAUGUUCUAAUGCUUGUGAUGAGAUGAUGUGAUUAUGCUUGUUGGCCUUA
rnacentral:lncRNA from 1 species